ACUAUUUCCAGAAGCGUAAGGGUGAAGAAAUGGAAACAGAGAAGAGACAGUUGCCCAAAAAAUCUGUGGGCUGACAGCUUACAUUUGGAGAAGAGCAAAAAUUGGCUGGAUAAGCACUUGGAUUUGGAACUGGGGGCAAUGGGACUGAAGAGAACCAGUGAGAAUAAUUGUUAAGGAAUCAAAAGAACAAGGGGAUUUCAAGAAAGGCAUGAUCAACAGGGUCAAAUGCUGCUGGGAGGAAAAAGAAGCUAAGGCUUAAAAACUGUUCAUUGACCUUGAAGAGAAGGACAGAGUAAGAGGGCAGGAGUUGGUGGAAUAUAGCAUCAAACAAGGGUUUCUGAAGAUGGAAGAUUUUUGCUUGUUUACAUGAUAACUCUCAAAAUGGCCAUGAGGAUAUACUGGUUUUGAAUGCUCCAGUCGAAAUGGGACCUGUGGUGACCUAAUUUAUGCUCUGACAGUUCAAAGAACUCAAACAAAUACCAUUAGCUGUUAAAGAUUUCGGUCUCCCAUUCUAAGAAGCAGAUCUCAAGCCUUCAAAGAAACCUCCCAUUUCCUUCUGGCUAAGUAGAAAAAUAAUUACUUUGUCAUGAAUACACCAGUGACUACAGAACUCUUCGCUGUUUUGCAGGCUCUAGUUAGGAUGAGGAGCAAUUUCACUAAUCAUUUUUUACUCAAAAUCUCACCAGACCCUUAAAAAUAAACCCUCUAGGCCAAGCGCUAUGGGAUUUUGCCAAUCGAAAUCUGAAGCCUUGUUCAGAGUGUGAAAAGCAGUUUUAAUUAGGAGCACAGGCCAGCCUCUUUUUAAAGGAAAGAAAACUUCUUAAAAUUACAUUAAUUGCCCUAUUAUUAGUAAAUUAAAAAAAAACACAAAAGUCUGUAGAACUCAGUGAUGGGUGAAACUGAUUGCAUUUUCCCGUUGCAGCAGCAGAAAAGCCCUCUCAAGGAGAAUGGCAUGCAUCAUGUGCUGGGGUAGAUAAGGUUUAAUUUCCCCCGGGCAGUGCCGGGCCUUGAACACUGAGAAUAUUGCUUCCUGGAUUGUUCCAAAUUACUACCAGAGCAUUGCAUCACUGCAUUACAUGCUGGCAAAGGACAGCUGACGAAGUUACUUGAAAGGACUCUUGGGACCAGUUGGACAAUGAGAUUUUGGCUCAAAUGAGUACUGCGUGACUUCGGGCAAACCAUAGAUUAUCUUAAUUCUGUUAUUUUUAAAAUAGGCAAAAUAUAAUUUUUUCUUCUCUUAAGAGAUUUUUUUUAGAGGAACAAAAAGCAAAAUAAACAAGGACAUCAAAGGCAUCUUGAUUUCUUCAAGUAGUUGAGCAGUGCUGACCCAGCUCAUGCACCGAACAUUAGUUGAUGGCUUAUACUUUUAUUUUAAGCAAUUUUUUAAAAUCUGAGUUUCCUUUGAUUAACUCAUAGAGGUCAUUCAUGGGGACACGGUAUCAGUGGACAUCUGGGAGAUGACAUAAUUGAGUUGAGCUUAAUUACAGGUACUGGAGAGAAAGAUGAAGACAGAAAGGAUGGGACUGAGGGAAUGGACACCACCAAGGGGCUUGCCCCAUUGGGGCAGUGGGGCCAUCCAAGGGCAGGCUCAGAUGAAAUGACAGACUCAGGCAGGUUCGACCUGGUGAGGACAAGGAAGCAAGAGGAGAUCCAGGUGGUGGAUGUAUUCUAAACCCAGGCAGGUAGAGGCAAUGAACCUGGUUUUAUGUUCAUUCAUGCAUGGGCCCGGUGAGAGAACAGUCAGAAGGUAUGUGGAACUUUCAGCUUUAACCCACUUCUGAGUCAUCUGGGAGGCUUGCUGACAUGACCCUUCCUGAUGGACUGUGGGGAGCUGGGAGGAGACCGGGCAUCCACACUUUUGAAAGCCGCUAGGUUGUCCUAAUACAAUUGAUCAGAUGACCACUUCUAAAGCAAUGGAAAGGAGGCCUUGUCAUUCCAGGUGUCAAGGUAGCACGCAACAGGGCCAGAUUUUACCUGAGGCCCACCUAAAAAGGAAGCUAGUGUUCUAGAGAAGAAAUAGAAGCAGAAUCAUAGUUGUGUGGAUCAGGCAACAGGCUGAUGAGCAGAAAACGAUUAACUCGGGCUAGCCAGAUGUGUUCACCUCAUACAUGUUGGCCAAAGCCCUACCACACUUCCUGCAUGACUAUGGUCUGUGAGAUAUAACCCUAGAGGCAGGGUUUAGAGGCAGAUCCAACCAUAGAGAAGCCUAGAAGGUAGGGAUACAUCACAUCUAGAGUAGCCUCAGUAGUAUUUAUUACCAAGUGAUGCCUUCAAGUUGAAGAAUCCCAAUACAAGAGUCUUGGAUAAAAUGAGAGAUUUUGUAUCCCACAUUACAAGAGAUUUGGGGUGGAUGGCUCCAGACCAGGUUAUUCUUGAGCACUCACUGAUGGCAGAACUCUAGCUUGGUUUCCCUGUGGUCUCAUGGCCUUCUUUUCAUGACUACAAAAAGAUGAAUGUUGCUUCAAUUUUCAGGCCAUCACACAACCUUCUGGAGAGGAAGACAAAGAAACUAUAUCUUCCUGGUGCCUCUUUUUAUCAGGGAGAAAAACAUUUCCUGAAGCCCUCGUGCAGAUCUGCCUUUACAUCUCAUUUGACAGAAUGAAUAUUUGUUGAUUCCUCAGUCCAUCUUAGAAGCAUUAUAGUUCACACUGUGGCUAGAGAAGAGCCUCUUUUCCCUGAGCCUACUCCUCCCAGUACAGAAAAGUAUUGUGGUGCAGUGAGCAAGGCAAGAAUUGGCAUAUCUCUUUAAAGACAACACAUAGUGCCUUUACCCUUUGACUCAUGUGGCAAGGCUUGAAACCUCUCUAGCUCUGAUGCCUUAUAGUAAAAUUAGUAGUUGUGUUAGAUUAUUGAUGUUUCAUUUGAACACUGAUGAUUUUAUGAUCCUAUGCUUUCUCUCAGCAACUAGUCUUCUGGAUUUUUUCAUUUAUUAUCCAGUCAUCAGGACUUUUACCUAAAUUUUAGAUACAAUGGCUAAGUGCCAAGAACACAUCCGUGCAGAGUUUACUGCAUGGAUUCUUUAUGGUCUGCCCAUUAUCAAAUUAUGGCAGUAAAGUCAUGGUCAAAGAACUAAGCUCCAAAUACAACUGAGAAGACUGUAAGUCCUCCUUCCAUUCAUCCUCCUCUGAAAAACAGUAAAACAGUGUACAUUCCCAGCACACAGCCUCCUGUGCAGGAUUCUGCAGAUCUUCUCUGUGUCAUUGCAACCCUUGUUGUGAUGCACUUAGCAAUAUUUCAUAACUUGAAUGUUUCCUCACUUUUUAAAAAAAAAACAUAAAUUCCUUCUUCCUACUUCUUUUCAUUUUAUUUUUCUCAAGGCUUAUCUUAAGAUAUCGCACCUCUAACAUAUUUCCUUCUUCAAGGGAAAGUGUCUUAAGAAAUGCUGCACAAAAGUAGUCUGGGUUCUGUUUUUGAAAUGACAUGAAAUCAUGUUUUUCUAUAUGCCCACAAGGACAUUCAUGCCUAACGAUUUCUGUGAAUAAUGUAACUUAAAAACAUAUAGGCCAGGCACAGUGGUUCAUGCGUGUAAUCCGAACACUUUGGGAGGCCGAGGAGGGCGGAUCACUUGAGGCCAGGAGUCCAAGACUAGCCUGGCCACAUGUCAAAACCCCAUCUUUACUAAAAAUACAAACAAACAAACAGACUUCUUGCUUGGUUCCAUUUAUGUUUCAUAAUUUUAUUAUCUGGUUUGCACUUUUAAAGCUGUGGCAAGAGAAUAAAUACUAGCAGUAAGAGUAUCUUAGUUGGCUUCUGUAUUCCUGCAUUCCCUUUUCUUUGGCAAGGUACAUUUUAAAAAAUCUCAAUAUCAAACAACUUAUGUUUGAAUAUUCAAAACAAGCUUUUUUAGGAACAAUAAAAAAUGUUAUUGCAGAACAAUCAGCCAUUGUAUCUAGAAUUUAGGUAAAAGUCCUGAUGGCUGGAUGAUAAAUGAAAAAAUCCAGAAGACUAGUUGCUGAGAGAAAGCAUAGGAUCAUAAAAUUGUCAGUGUUCAAAUGAAACAUCAAUAAUCUAACACAGCCACUAAUCUUACUGUAAGGCAUCAGAGCUAGAGAGGUUUCAAGCCUUGCCACAUCUCACAUGAAGGAGGAUGCGGAGACAACCCUUGUCUUGCUUGGGCUUAUAUCUUGGACCUGCACUGCUUAAGGCAGCAGCCCCAAGUCAAAUGGGGCUGAACCCUUGAAAUGUGGUCGUCCUAGUUGAGAUGUGCUUGAAGGUAAACUACACACUGAAUUUUGAAGUCUCACUAUUAAAGAAAAGAAAUGUAAGAUAUAUUGUUAAUAUCCUUAUAUGGAUUACAAGUUGAAGCGAUUAUAUUUUUAACAUAUUAUGUUAAACAAAAUGAUAUACGAAUUUCACCUAUUUCUUUUUACUUUUUAAAAAAUGUAGUUACUAGGGAAUUUAAAUUUUCUCACAUGGCUGGCAUUAUAUUUCUAUUGUAUUUAAACUUAGAUGGUUAGCUCUUUUGGUCCUGAAUACUAACCCUAUUGAAUGAGAAGGGCAUAGUCUGGCCUCAUGGAAGGUUUGUCUCACUAUGAUUUAAGGAGUUUUGGGGGGGAGGGGGCAUAAAUUGUGAUUUUUUUAAUUGGAAAAAUUAAAAAAUCAGCUCACAAUGGGAGUGGAUUUGAGGCAAAUUGUGCAAGCAGAUUUUCUUUAAGUGGCUAAGCAAAGUUUAAAAAGCAAGUAACAAUGGAAAAAAAAAUGUUUCUGGUACAGGACCAGCAGUACAAAAAUAGUGUACGAGUACCUAGAUAACAUACCCAUUUUGCAAAGUGCAACUUUUAAGUACACUAUUUUAAUGACUUUAUUUGUUGCUUAAUCCUUUGGAUCAUUAUAAAAUAGUUUUAUGAAUCAAUCAAUAGCCAGGAAAUUUGAGGUAUAUUUCCUACCUCUAUUGUUUAUCGUACGUGUGUUGGUCUCUAGUCCCACUUAAACUCUACAGCCCAUGCCUGGCAAUUAGGGACUAACACUAUGGAUAGAGGUAUAUGGUUUUACCAGAAUUCCUGACUGGAAAAAACAAUCAGCUUUAACUGGUUAGAAGUCAUCAGUGCUGGUUUAUCUAUUAAAUAAAUCACUUCCGUAAGUCUGACAGUGCCUUAGAAAGAAGCACUUUUCCCUGGAGACUUCACCUAUGCGGAGCACAGAACAAUGAACUCCAGAGCCAGCCAUUGCUGGGAGAUGGAACAACAGUAAGGAAAGCUGAGAGAAGCAUGGUGUCAGUCCAGGGCUAUUCCCUGCAAGCAGCAGAAACUUUGCCUUGGCUGACAUUAAACAGAAAAGGAGGUUUUGCAAGGUUAUUAGUUGGUUCACAGAAUAAUUGGGAAGAUGCAGAACUAGUUUCUGAAAAUAGGCAUGAACGGAGGGCAGCCAGAACCACAGCCCAAAUCAAGACUCAGAACUUGAUCUUAGGGUGGUCAACGCCGCACUGCAGAUGCUGCAGAUUCCCCUGCAGUCACUGUUGACCCUGCACACUGAGGCUGAAACUGCCACCCCCAGACUCCAGCAGCAGGUGACCCACUUGCGCUGGUAUGCUCAAAACUCUUUGCUGGUUUUAAACUGAUAGUCUGGGCUCCUGAGAACCCCCUCUGUCUUCAGCAAAGCAGGACAGUUGGUCACACUAGUCGGAAUAAAUUCUCCACCAUCCACGGCUCCCAUGUUCAAGUGCUGGGCAUGUAUGUCUGAUUAGGCCCUGCUGGGUCACCUAAGUUCUGGCUGCCAGAGAGAUGAAGAGAGAGGGUCUGGCCAUCUAUCUUCCCUAGUGGGUGGCUGCCCCAGCUUUCCAUCAGAGGCUUAUAACUAAAACAUAAGCAGACUACUUCUCAGUAAUUUGAGUUAAAUAGAGGAAACGGAACACAAAGAAAAGCAGCCAGGAGCAACAGGAACUGGUGGCUCUCCUUCUGAGGCAGCGUCCUGUGGUCAAAGGAGGAGGUGCUUUGCUGGGACUCAUUUUGUUCAUUCGAAAGUUGGAGAAAGGACUCUAAAGGAGCUCAUGUAAGGAAAGUACCUAGCCCACAUCACAUGCUCAAAUAUUUCUUUCCCCUUUCUUCUGUUUUUCACUUUCUUUUCUCACCCCUUCAUUGGAAUCUGAUGUCACUGCUGUAGAAACUAAACUGAUUUACAUUCUCUACCAACUAGCCAUUAUUAAAAAUUCAAGUAAUAAUGUGUAGAACUCAUCACUUACUAGAACUUAUCAAUUACUGUGUUUUAUUUAUUUAUACUUUUGAAGUUACUUAUGUCUUAGUUGCAAGUUGCGAGUUCUACAUAAUGCUGUGUCACUGCACAUUUCUUCCCAAAUCUGUGUUUGGUGACAUCACUCGGAUAGCUUGAAAUUGGCCUGGUGGGAAUUGGCAAAUACUACAAAUCAGGGCUCAAUUUAUUUUUUAUUGACUGUCUAGACUUAUGGAAGUGGUAGAGAAAAUGUUGAUAAAGCAGAUUAAACUUAGAAGUGUGUUGUGUGUCUGUAGUUAUUACACUGACCAGCACUGAAAUGAAAAAUACAGUUUUCUAGUAUUCAACCACUAUUACACAAUUCAACAGGGAACUUGCUCACACCAUGGACAAAACAGUGAAUUUCCGAGACGUGAGUCUUCAUUGUUUGACUUUUGUCUUACAUGAGAUAAACAAAUGUGUCAACUAACUUAUUCAUCAGUUGCAAACAAAGGUUGGCUAUAGAUAAGAGUUUGGUAAAAAUUAAUAAAAGCAUUCUGUGGGAACUAACUGGCUGUAUGGAAUUUAUAAUAAAUAAUAUUGUGUAUAUAAUAUAUAUGCAUAUACACAUACAUACACACACACGCACAUACAUACACACACACACAGAGGUUUUUUUUAGGGAGAAGGGAACCAGUUGUUCAAAAAUUACCAGUACACCACAGUGAGCUGCCCUCUUUAAACGUGAUCUAUCUUUACAAUCAUAUUAUUAUUGUUGUUUUUAAUUUUUAUUUUACUUUAAGUUUCUGGAUACAUGUGCAGAACAUGCAGGUUUGUUACAUGGGUAUACAUGUGCCAUGGUGGUUUGCUGCAACUAUCAACCCGUCAUCUAGGCUUUAAGCCCCAAAUGCAUUAGCUAUUUGUCCUGAUGAUCUCCCUCUCCUCCUCCCCCUACAGGUCCCCAUAUGUGAUGUUCCCCUCCCUGUGUCCAUGUGUUCUCAUUGUUCAACUCCCACUUAUGAGUGAGAACAUGUAGUGUUUGGUUUUCUGUUCCUGUGCUGGUUUGCUGAACAAGAUGGCUUCUGGCUUCAUCUAUGUCCCUGCAAAGCACAUGAUCUCAUUUGUUUUUAUGGCUGCAUAGUAUUCCAUAGUGUAUAUGUACCACAUUUUAUUUAACCAAUCUAUCAUUGAUGGGCAUUUGGGUUGGUUCCAUGUCUUUGCUAUUGUAAAUAGUGCUGCAAUAAACAUACAUGUGCAUGUAUCUUUAUAGUAGAAUGAUUUAUAUUCCUUUGGUUAUGUACCCAGUAAUGGGAUUGCUGAGUCAAACGGAAUUUCUGGUUCUAGAUCCCUGAAGAAUUGCCACACUGUCUUCCACAAUGGUUGAACUAAUUCACAUUCCCACCAACAGUGUAAAAGCAUUUCUAUUUCUCCACAGCCUUGCCAGCAUCUAUUGUUUCUUCUGUCAGUUCAUCCAUGUCAUCCUCCGUCCAGUUCUGUGCCCUUGCUGGAGAGGUGUUGUGAUCAUUUGGAAGAGAAGAGGCACUCUGGCCUUUUGGGUUUUCUGUGUUUUUUUUUAUUUUUUCUCUUCUUCAUAAGUUUGUCUAGUUUUGAUCUUUGAGGCUGUUGAUCCUUGGAUGAGGAUUUGUGGGGACUUUUUUGUUGAUGCUAUUGUUGUUGCUUUCUGUUUGUUUGUUUGUUUGUUUUUUAAUAGUCAGCUCCCUCUUCUCUAGGGCUGCUGUGGUUUGCUGGGAGUUCACUUCAGGCCCUAUUCAUCAGGUUCACUCCCGUGCCUGGAGAUGUCACUCGAGGAGACUGGAGAACAGCAAAGAUGGAUGCCUGCUCCUUCCUCUGGGAUCUCUGACCUCGAGGGGCACCAAUGUGAUGCCAGUAGAAAUGCUCCCAUAUAAGGUGUCUGACAACCUCUGUUGGAGGAUCUCACUCAGUUGGAUGGCAUGGGAUGCAGGACCCAUUUAACGAAGCACUUUGGCUGUCCCUUGGUAGAGGGGGUGUGCCUCGCUGUGGGGAAACCUACUCCUCUGGGCUGCUCCGAUUCCUCAGAACUAGAAGAACAAAAGACCAAGUCUGCUGGUCCACGGAGACUAUGGCCACCCCUUCAUGGGCUCAGGCCCAGGGAGAUUAGAGUUCUGUCCCUGAGCCCCUGGUUGGAGUUGUUGGAAUUCCUGCAGGGAGGCCCCACCCAGUGAGGAGGAAUGGGUCAAGGUCAGGCCUGAAGAGGCACUUUGGCCGUAGUCUGCCACAGCCGGUUUGUUAGGCUGUGGCGAAUACCUCUUGGGACCCAACCGUCCAGCCUCCUUGGCUCCAGCAGAGGAAAAGCGUGGCCUGGAGCUAUAGAGAUGGCUGCCGCCCUUCCCCUGCCCUGGGAGCAUAGUGUGUUAGGCAGCUAGCAUUCCCAGUGUUGCCUGCCGCCCCUCCUCCAAGGAGCCCAGAAGGCUUAGACAGCAGGCAGCUGCAGCUGUGGCGAUGGCCUCCCCUCUCCUCAAGAACUGGGCAAGCUUAGGCAGAUUCUAGCUGAGUGGCUGUUGAGAAUCUGCAUGGCUCCAUAGUUGGGACGCUAGGCCACGGUGGCUUGGGUUCACGAGUGGGAUCUUCUGAUCUGUGGGUCGCUCAGUUGCAUGGAAAAAGCACAGUUUCCCAGGCUGGGUAGUGUGCUCACUCACCACCUCCGUUGGCUGGGGGUUGAGGUCUCCUCCGCCCCUUAUGGCUCUCAGGUGGGCCGCCCAUCACACUGCUCUUCCUUCCUCUCCGUGGGUCACCCCAGCCUCCUACUCAGUCCUGAUGACAGAACCUGGAUAUCUGGGUUGCCAGUGGAGGAUUCGCACACUGUUUUGGUUCUUUUCAAUGGAAGACUCUGACUGACACUGAUUCUAGUCGGCCAUCUUGGCCCUGCCCCCCAGUCAUAUUAUUUUCCAAAUCAAAUAAAAAUACAUGAUUGGACAGAUUUAUUUUCUG
rnacentral:lncRNA from 1 species